GUUAAUACCCUAUGACCUUGAUGUUACCUGCAGAAUAAGCACCGGCUAAUUCCGUGCCAGCAGCCGCGGUAAUACGGAAGGUGCAAGCGUUAAUCGGAAUUACUGGGCGUAAAGCGCGCGUAGGUGGUUUGUUAAGUUGGAUGUGAAAGCCCUGGGCUCAACCUAGGAACUGCAUCCAAAACUAACUCACUAGAGUACGAUAGAGGGAGGUAGAAUUCAUAGUGUAGCGGUGGAAUGCGUAGAUAUUAUGAAGAAUACCAGUGGCGAAGGCGGCCUCCUGGAUCUGUACUGACACUGAGGUGCGAAAGCGUGGGUAGCGAACAGGAUUAGAUACCCUGGUAGUCCACGCCGUAAACGAUGACAACUAGCUGUUGGGAGACUAUGUCUUUCAGUGGCGCAACUAACGCUUUAAGUUGUCCGCCUGGGGAGUACGGCCGCAAGGCUAAAACUCAAAUGAAUUGACGGGGACCCGCACAAGCGGUGGAGCAUGUGGUUAAUUCGAUGCAACGCGAAAAACCUUACCUACUCUUGACAUACUUGGGAGCUCUUGUAAUGAGAGUGUGCCUUAUGGAACCAAGAUACAGGUGUUGCAUGGCUGUCUUCAGCUCGUGUCGUGAGAUGUUCCGUUAAGUCCGAUUAACGAGCGCAACCCUUUACCCUUUAUUUGCCUGCCUUUCGGAUGGGAACUUUUAAGGGGACUGCCGGUGAUAACCGGAGGGAGGUGAGGACAACUCAAGUUAUCC
rnacentral:rRNA from 1 species